rnacentral:rRNA from 1 species
GGUAGUCCACCCCGUAAACGUUGGGAACUAGUUGUGGGGACCAUUCCACGGUUUCCGUGACGCAGCUAACGCAUUAAGUUCCCCGCCUGGGGAGUACGGCCGCAAGGCUAAAACUCAAAGGAAUUGACGGGGACCCGCACAAGCGGCGGAGCAUGCGGAUUAAUUCGAUGCAACGCGAAGAACCUUACCAAGGCUUGACAUACACCAGAACACCGUAGAAAUACGGGACUCUUUGGACACUGGUGAACAGGUGGUGCAUGGUUGUCGUCAGCUCGUGUCGUGAGAUGUUGGGUUAAGUCCCGCAACGAGCGCAACCCUCGUUCUAUGUUGCCAGCACGUAAUGGUGGGAACUCAUGGGAUACUGCCGGGGUCAACUCGGAGGAAGGUGGGGAUGACGUCAAAUCAUCAUGCCCCUUAUGUCUUGGGCUUCACGCAUGCUACAAUGGCCGGUACAAAGGGCUGCAAUACCGUGAGGUGGAGCGAAUCCCAAAAAGCCGGUCCCAGUUCGGAUUGAGGUCUGCAACUCGAUCUCAUGAAGUCGGAGUCGCUAGUAAUCGCAGAUCAGCAACGCUGCGGUGAAUACGUUCCCGGGUCUUGUACACACCGCCCGUCAAGUCAUGAAAGUCGGUAACACCUGAAGCCGGUGGCCCAACCCUUGUGGAGGGAGCCGUCGAAGGUGGGAUCGGUAAUUAGGACUAAGUCGUAACAAGGUAGCCGUACCGGAAGGUGC